rnacentral:misc_RNA from 1 species
GAUGAAGAACGUAGCGAAAUGCGAUAAGUAAUGUGAAUUGCAGAAUUCAGUGAAUCAUCGAAUCUUUGAACGCACAUUGCGCCCGCCAGUAUUCUGGCGGGCAUGCCUGUUCGAGCGUCAUUUCAACCAUCAAGCCCCAGGCUUGUGUUGGAGCCCUGCGGCUGCCGCAGCCUCCCAAAACCAGUGGCGGGCUCGCUAUCACACCGAGUGCAGUAGUUUACUCUUCGCUCAGGGCGUGUGGCGGGUGCUAGCCGUAAAACCCCCAACUUCUCAAGGUUGACCUCGGAUCAGGUAGGAAUACCCGCUGAACUUAAGCAUAUCAAAAGCGGAGGA